AUGGACAAGAUAUUGGAAGCAUCAUUCUUAAUUCUGUGUCUUCGAGUAGACUGGGUGAGUGGACAACAGAAGGAAAAAAGCAGCCAAGAGCAGGUGAAACAGAGCCCUCAAUCUUUGACAGUCAAGGAAGGAGAGAUUUCCAUUCUGAACUGUAGUUAUGAGAACAGUUUGUUUGACUACUUCCCAUGGUACCGGAAAUAUCCUGGUAAAGGCCCUGCACUCUUGAUAGCCAUACGUUCAGUUGUGAAUGAAAUGAAGGAUGGAAGACUCACAGUUUUCCUCAAUAAGAGUGCCAAACAGCUCUCAUUGCACAUCGCAACUUCCCAGCCUGGAGACUCAGCCACCUACUUCUGUGCAGCAAGUGCACAGUGCUCCCCAGACACCUGCAGCCUGUACCCAAACCUGCAGCCAAGGCUCCAGACACAUUCUGAAAUGUAG